rnacentral:rRNA from 1 species
AACGCUGGCGGCGUGCUUAACACAUGCAAGUCGAACGGAAAGGCCCUGCUUUUGUGGGGUGCUCGAGUGGCGAACGGGUGAGUAACACGUGAGUAACCUGCCCUUGACUUUGGGAUAACUUCAGGAAACUGGGGCUAAUACCGGAUAGGAGCUCCUGCUGCAUGGUGGGGGUUGGAAAGUUUCGGCGGUUGGGGAUGGACUCGCGGCUUAUCAGCUUGUUGGUGGGGUAGUGGCUUACCAAGGCUUUGACGGGUAGCCGGCCUGAGAGGGUGACCGGCCACAUUGGGACUGAGAUACGGCCCAGACUCCUACGGGAGGCAGCAGUGGGGAAUAUUGCACAAUGGGCGGAAGCCUGAUGCAGCAACGCCGCGUGCGGGAUGACGGCCUUCGGGUUGUAAACCGCUUUCGCCUGUGACGAAGCGUGAGUGACGGUAAUGGGUAAAGAAGCACCGGCUAACUACGUGCCAGCAGCCGCGGUGAUACGUAGGGUGCGAGCGUUGUCCGGAUUUAUUGGGCGUAAAGGGCUCGUAGGUGGUUGAUCGCGUCGGAAGUGUAAUCUUGGGGCUUAACCCUGAGCGUGCUUUCGAUACGGGUUGACUUGAGGAAGGUAGGGGAGAAUGGAAUUCCUGGUGGAGCGGUGGAAUGCGCAGAUAUCAGGAGGAACACCAGUGGCGAAGGCGGUUCUCUGGGCCUUUCCUGACGCUGAGGAGCGAAAGCGUGGGGAGCGAACAGGCUUAGAUACCCUGGUAGUCCACGCUGUAAACGGUGGGUACUAGGUGUAGGGUCCAUUCCACGGGUUCCGUGCCGUAGCUAACGCUUUAAGUACCCCGCCUGGGGAGUACGGCCGCAAGGCUAAAACUCAAAGGAAUUGACGGGGCCCCGCACAAGCGGCGGAGCAUGCGGAUUAAUUCGAUGCAACGCGUAGAACCUUACCUGGGUUUGACAUGGAUCGGGAGCGCUCAGAGAUGGGUGUGCCUCUUUUGGGGUCGGUUCACAGGUGGUGCAUGGCUGUCGUCAGCUCGUGCCGUGAGAUGUUGGGUUAAGUCCCGCAACGAGCGCAACCCUUGUUCACUGUUGCCAGCACGUUAUGGUGGGGACUCAGUGGAGACCGCCGGGGUCAACUCGGAGGAAGGUGGGGAUGACGUCAAGUCAUCAUGCCCCUUAUGUCCAGGGCUUCACGCAUGCUACAAUGGCUGGUACAGAGAGUGGCGAGCCUGUGAGGGUGAGCGAAUCUCGGAAAGCCGGUCUCAGUUCGGAUUGGGGUCUGCAACUCGACCUCAUGAAGUCGGAGUCGCUAGUAAUCGCAGAUCAGCAACGCUGCGGUGAAUACGUUCCCGGG